CCUACGGGAGGCAGCAGUGAGGAAUAUUGGACAAUGGGCGCAAGCCUGAUCCAGCCAUGCCGCGUGCAGGAAGACGGUCCUAUGGAUUGUAAACUGCUUUUAUACAGGAAGAAACACCUCUACGUGUAGAGACUUGACGGUACUGUAUGAAUAAGCAUCGGCUAACUCCGUGCCAGCAGCCGCGGUAAUACGGAGGAUGCAAGCGUUAUCCGGAAUCAUUGGGUUUAAAGGGUCCGUAGGCGGUUUAAUAAGUCAGUGGUGAAAGCCCAUCGCUCAACGAUGGAACGGCCAUUGAUACUGUUAAACUUGAAUUAUUAGGAAGUAACUAGAAUAUGUAGUGUAGCGGUGAAAUGCUUAGAGAUUACAUGGAAUACCAAUUGCGAAGGCAGGUUACUACUAAUAUAUUGACGCUGAUGGACGAAAGCGUGGGGAGCGAACAGGAUUAGAUACCCUGGUAGUCCACGCCGUAAAACGAUGGAUACUAGCUGUUCGGAGCAAUUCUGAGUGGCGUAGACGAAGUAGAGUAAGUAUACCACCUCGGGAGGUACGGUUCGUCGAAGAAGUAGAAACGUACGAAAGUAGUAAGUUAGUACGGACGUAGAGACGUUAGCCGACGGACGACGACGAGGGGAGGUAGG
rnacentral:rRNA from 1 species